rnacentral:rRNA from 1 species
GAUUGAACGCUGGCGGCAGGCCUAACACAUGCAAGUCGAACGGUAGCACAGAGAGCUUGCUCUUGGGUGACGAGUGGCGGACGGGUGAGUAAUGUCUGGGAAACUGCCCGAUGGAGGGGGAUAACUACUGGAAACGGUAGCUAAUACCGCAUAACGUCUUCGGACCAAAGUGGGGGACCUUCGGGCCUCACACCAUCGGAUGUGCCCAGAUGGGAUUAGCUAGUAGGUGGGGUAAUGGCUCACCUAGGCGACGAUCCCUAGCUGGUCUGAGAGGAUGACCAGCCACACUGGAACUGAGACACGGUCCAGACUCCUACGGGAGGCAGCAGUGGGGAAUAUUGCACAAUGGGCGCAAGCCUGAUGCAGCCAUGCCGCGUGUAUGAAGAAGGCCUUCGGGUUGUAAAGUACUUUCAGCGGGGAGGAAGGCGAUGGAGUUAAUAGCUUCAUCGAUUGACGUUACCCGCAGAAGAAGCACCGGCUAACUCCGUGCCAGCAGCCGCGGUAAUACGGAGGGUGCAAGCGUUAAUCGGAAUUACUGGGGCGUAAAGCGCACGCAGGCGGUCUGUCAAGUCGGAUGUGAAAUCCCCGGGCUUAACCUGGGAACUGCAUUCGAAACUGGCAGGCUAGAGUCUUGUAGAGGGGGGGUAGAAUUCCAGGUGUAGCGGUGAAAUGCGUAGAGAUCUGGAGGAAUACCGGUGGCGAAGGCGGCCCCCUGGACAAAGACUGACGCUCAGGUGCGAAAGCGUGGGGAGCAAACAGGAUUAGAUACCCUGGUAGUCCACGCCGUAAACGAUGUCGACUUGGAGGUUGUGCCCUUGAGGCGUGGCUUCCGGAGCUAACGCGUUAAGUCGACCGCCUGGGGAGUACGGCCGCAAGGUUAAAACUCAAAUGAAUUGACGGGGGCCCGCACAAGCGGUGGAGCAUGUGGUUUAAUUCGAUGCAACGCGAAGAACCUUACCUACUCUUGACAUCCAGCGAAUUCGGUAGAGAUACCUUAGUGCCUUCGGGAACGCUGAGACAGGUGCUGCAUGGCUGUCGUCAGCUCGUGUUGUGAAAUGUUGGGUUAAGUCCCGCAACGAGCGCAACCCUUAUCCUUUGUUGCCAGCGGUCCGGCCGGGAACUCAAAGGAGACUGCCAGUGAUAAACUGGAGGAAGGUGGGGAUGACGUCAAGUCAUCAUGGCCCUUACGAGUAGGGCUACACACGUGCUACAAUGGCGCAUACAAAGAGAAGCGACCUCGCGAGAGCAAGCGGACCUCAUAAAGUGCGUCGUAGUCCGGAUUGGAGUCUGCAACUCGACUCCAUGAAGUCGGAAUCGCUAGUAAUCGUAGAUCAGAAUGCUACGGUGAAUACGUUCCCGGGCCUUGUACAC